UACAGAGGGUGCGAGCGUUGUCCGGAAUCAUUGGGCGUAAAGAGCGUGUAGGCGGCCAGGUAGGUCCGUUGUGAAAACUCGAGGCUCAACCUCGAGACGUCGGCGGAAACCCUCUGGCUAGAGUCCGGAAGAGGAGAGUGGAAUUCCUGGUGUAGCGGUGAAAUGCGCAGAUAUCAGGAAGAACACCCGUGGCGAAGGCGGCUCUCUGGGACGGUACUGACGCUGAGACGCGAAAGCGUGGGGAGCAAACAGG
rnacentral:rRNA from 1 species